rnacentral:pre_miRNA from 1 species
AGUGUGAUUGCUAGAUUGUAUGGUAAGAAUGUGUUUAGUUUUGUAAGGAACUGCCAAGUUGACUUCCAAAGUGGCUGUACCAUUUUGCAUUUCUACCAGCAAU